CAAUAACUGGUUUUAUGAAUUAUAAGUAUCUAUAUAACUAAAAGUAUUAUUUUCUUUGGAAUGAAUCAACAUUUAUAGAAAGUUUUGACGCUAUAAGCGACCAAUUCCUGAUGAACAUCGCAAUCGCCGCAGCAGAAGUAAAUGUGAUGUCAGAAUUUGUUGUUCACGUUGCAUGUGUGGUUUUCAACUAGUGCUUUACUUUUCAGUGCUUAAAGAUGAACACAGGAGUUUGGAAAGGCCACAGACACACGCUCAACGAAGCUGUGAUUUGAAGUUCGCUUGAGUCUCCUGGAUAGCAGUGCUGAAUUAUUCCCAUUUUUGUUAAGUGUGAUUGAUACCCGUAGCGCGUAUUUUGUUAG